CGGCGGAUAUUCGUCGUUAUCGGUACUUCCGUCUUCUUCUUCCUCCUCGUCGGCGUCGUCGGCGGCUUCUUCCGUCGAUGAGCUGUCGGAUGAGUGGAUUAACUCUACUAAUGCUAUUAGAUCUACUGCGUAGAUAAUUCCAAUAUAUGUUAGCUUGACUAAUUAAUCACUGUUUAUUGUUAAUUAAGUUCACUCUAAUCUGGCUUUCCAUAUGUAUAAUUUAUGGGAAUUUGAAUUUCCUGUGUAAACUCUGUCUUCUCUGGUUUGAUUAUGGCGAUCUACCAGCUUAAUUACCUUCUGUUCUCACUGAUAGAGUGAUUCUUUGUAUGGGUUUCCAGUUUACACCGAUAGAACACAGGCUCGGCCCAAUGGAAGUCUCAGCCUGGAAUAAUAGAGAAACCGAAGAGGGCCCAAUUGUUUACUUUCUUGGGUCUCUAUUACCG
rnacentral:lncRNA from 1 species